CCGAGCGUACACGGAGAGAGGAGGGGCUUGCACGACCAGCAUAUCCUCUCCAUCUGAGUAGUUUGGACGCAAACCAUAGCACUGAUACGAACCCAUGUAUCGUUACCAAGCGUAACGACGUAGUUGACGUCCACCUUCUCAGAGGGCUACGGAAGCGCCUAUACGCCAUAACGUUGGUACCUCGUGUUAUAAGAAGUUUUUGUCCUAAGGAACGGCACUGUGUAUUCCAGGAGGAACGGAACCCUGGGUGCCGUUCCUUUUCGAGAUUAAGAUGGAUUCUGUACAAUCAAGGAAAAUUAAAAUUAGAUACGGUGAGAAAUGUAUGAAUAUAUAUGUGACAAAUAAUACUUUGAAGAAAAGUGUCUUAAAAGAUUAUUUUUCUGACGGUGGGACUUUGACAUAUCAAAUUGAUGGGGAGACAUAUCUAUUAGACACGGAAGCUCAAUCCAUCUACGUAAAUGCAAAUGUGGACAUUUAUGAUUUCAACGUUCCAAAAGAUGUACCUGUUUCACAGCUCAAUGGAAAAAAACGUAAACGUUUUCACGAUAUUCUUGAAACGUUAUAUUCAGA